CCUACGGGAGACAGCAGUGAGGAAUAUUGGUCAAUGGACGAGAGUCUGAACCAGCCAAGUAGCGUGAAGGAUGACUGCCCUAUGGGUUGUAAACUUCUUUUAUAUGGGAAUAAAACGUUCCACGAGUGGGAGUUGGUAUGUACCAUAUGAAUAAGGAUCGGCUAACUCCGUUCCAGCAGCCGCGGUAAUACGGAGGAUCCGAGCGUUAUCCGGAUUGAUUGGGUUUAAAGGGAGCGUAGGUGGAUUGUUAAGUCAGUUGUGAAAGUUUGCGGCUCAACCGGAGAAUUGCAGUUGAAACUGGCAGUCUUGAGUACAGUAGAGGUGGGCGGAAUUCGAGGUGUAGCGGUGAAAUGCUUAGAGAUCACGAAGAACUCCGAUUGCGAAGGCAGUUCACUGGACUGCAACUGACACUGAGGCUCGAAAGUGUGGGUAUCAAACAGGAUUAGAUACCCGAGUAGUC
rnacentral:rRNA from 1 species